rnacentral:lncRNA from 1 species
GAGUAGCUGGGACUGCAGGCGCCCGCCACCAUGCCUGGCUAAUUUUUUGUAUGUUUAGUAGAGACGGGGUUUCACCGUGUUAGCCAGGAUGGUCUCUAUCUCCUGACCUUGUGAUCUGCCUGCCUCGGCCUCCCGAAGUGCCGGGAUUACAAGCGUGAGCCACCAUUCCCGGCCCAAAGAGGAGAAGAAGUAUGAAGUGCUUGCUUGGACCUUUCUACUGUGCUUAUUAUUCUGUCUUCUCCUCAUGGCAAAUGCUUCCUGUCCUUGAACAUCAGACUUCAAGUUCUUCAGUUUUGGGACUUGGACUGGCCCCUUGCUCCUCAGCUUCCCAAUGGCCUACUGUGGGACCUUGUGAUCAUGUGAUCAAAGAUGACUUUUAACACAAUUGGAACCAAGCUGCUCAUAAGAAUGACAAAAAAAAAAAAAAAAAAACAGACAACUAAUUUGCACUUGCUUAAUGUUGGUCAAAAUGCAGUGGAACCUCGUGUUCUUUUUCAUCAAUAUCUCUUGAAUGUGGUCAAGAGCCAGAAGCUCAGCUGCAUCAAUUAUGUGAACUUGUGUGAAUCCUUUGAUUAUAAUCAUGUUGUCAAGAUCCAAUUAUGUUUCAUUGAUAAAGCAAGAAAUGGCAAUAAUAACCAGAAAUAUUCUAGAACUGGA